GUCAUACCCCAAUUUUGUCCGACCAUUUUGGUUUAAUCCAUGAGAUUUCUUUGCUUCAAAAGUCCCAUAUUUAGAAUUUGCAUUUUUUAGAAACAUGUAUGUUUUUUUUUAAUUAAAAGUCUCCUAUUUAGGUUUUUGUAUUUAAAAUAGAAUUGUCUUUUUUAAAUUAAAAGUUCCAUAUUUAUAUCUUUGUAUUUAAAA
rnacentral:lncRNA from 1 species